UUCAGUUUGAUUUUUAUCAGUGUAUUCGAAUUUUGUAGAGAAAUGCACUAUACUACAGAGGUAUUGGGCAUGCAUUUCAUACAAUUUGCAGAGAAGAAGGUUUUUUGGGAUUGUAUAAAGGACUUGGAGCGACACUGUUGGGUGUUGGGCCCAGUAUAGCAAUAAGCUUCUCAGUUUAUGAGGCUUUGAGGUCUUUUUGGCAGUCUGAAAGGCCCAAUGAUUCGACUGUCAUGGUCAGUCUUGCCUGCGGCAGCCUUUCAGGCAUUGCCUCAUCAACAGGUAAGUGAUCUGUG